rnacentral:snRNA from 1 species
GGAUGUGAGGGUGAUCUGGCUGUGACAUCUGUCACCUCAUCAAUCACCAGGGUUGAUUCACUGAUCUGGCUAGCUAGGCAGUGUCUCACUCCUCCCUCACAGCUCCACGUGCAUUCCUUCUGAUGCUGUGUGCUCGGUCAAAGAAAACCACCAUCCCCAAUAGUGGAGGACUGGUCUUCGGUCAAGGGUAUACGAGUAGCUGCACUCCCCUCCUAGAAACCUCCAUAACAAGCUCUCAAAUAGACCUAUUUUUGAAGUCCCUCAUCUUAUCACUCUCCAUCUUU